GGCAGAUUAAAGCUCUCUGAUGGGGAAGGGCUUAAAGGCUGAGUCAAAUGCCAAUAAGUCUCUUUAUUUACGCCUACCUCCCAGCCCCUGGCAGUCUGACUAAUAACAAACUGAGCUAACAAGAAGGACUAGAAAGAGCACAGAGAACACAGAAGCAGCUAGGAUCUAAAAAUCUGACGAGCUGAGUGAUCGAUUGGACGCUUUGUACUUUGUCUUCUGAACAAGGAUUUUGACUUUAGAGAACUGUAGUAUCACCAGAGCUUUCAGCAAAUAAACUGAGAAGGAAGUGCAUAUUUUUCACAGAGAAAAAUUACAUUGUAUUCACACAGCUGUUCCAACUGAGCAUUACUGAGCAUUUCAGGGAGUUUUACUGCUGUACAGGUAAGUAAAAUAUUCUAGUUUGUUAAGUAGCUCUGAGUUUAAGAAAUUCAUUUCUCAGUAUGAAUUAGUUUUAUUUUUUCUGCAUGAUUUUGAAUUACUUUUAGGUUAAAUGAUGGUGGUUUAUACUCUAUUGCAAACAGUCUUCCAGGUGUGUUUAUUCAUCUUGUUAACAGUAUAUCUGAAUAGUAGAAUAUGCUUAUGAAGGAAACACUGACCUGAUGUUUGUUGAAGGUGGAAUGAAUAAAUGUUACCUUUUAUUUUCCGAAGUGCUAAAAUUGUCUUAAACAUUUUUACUGUGAUUCCCCUCAGAAUGUAAUAAACAGUCCUAAAGGCUUUUAGAAAUUGCCACUUCUAGGCUGGAGGCUUUGGAGGCUUUGAAAUUCCCCAGCAUGUUUUUUUUUUUUUUUAAUAGUUGAAUUAAAACAAGCAAAAAAUAGAACCCCAAGUAAAACUUAAAAUAAUAAUAAAACAAUUUCAGUGUUCUAAGAACCUGUUGCUGAUUAUUACUUGUCAAUCAUGUAAGUCCUUUGCUGUGAAGUGAUUAAUUCUGAAAAUAUUCAACAUUGCCUUGUAGAGAAGACUGUGACAUUUUUUGACUUUCAGAAUUUGUACUGCAAAAAUACAUUAUGCAUAGACAGAGACCUACCAAAAGCAGAUUAACUCAGCUAACUUAAGAUACUAGAUAGAAUUUUCUGAGAAAGCUCACCACAGGAAAUAGAAAGACAUCAAACUUGUAAAGUCUUUUAAACCAAAUUUUAUUUCAUUGUGAAUUCAUGUUGAUCAUCUGCCACUUGAAAGCAGUUUUCAUUGUACAGUGGUAGCCCAUCGAGAGUUUCAUCACAUGUUCUUGAAUGCUCAGAACAAAACCAAAAUUUUAAAAAAGGAAAAAUAAAAGAAUUCUUGUAUUAUUUUUUAAAAGUGGGUAUGUUUAUGUGUGUGAGUGAGUUCUAGCAUUGUUGUCCACAGAAAUAUGAUUAUGUUUAAAAUGUGACUGUUUUCCAAUUGGCAACAAAUGUUGUUACUUUCAUUUCUAAGAAGAAGGCUUUAAUUUUAAUAAAUAAAUUUUAAAAUAUGUGCUAGAAUGCAAUGUGCUUUUCAGAUUUUAUUUUUUCAUUUAUUUUUCCCCAGGGAUUUUUUAAAUACAGUUUGAAUUUGAUGCAGAUCAAAGCUGGAAUUUAUAUAGGGGAAAACAAAGUCUAGAAAGAGGUUCAGCUAGUUAUACAGUAGGUUUAGAGAUGGCAUCUGUGAAAAGAGCCUAUGUUUUUUUACCUUGGGUCAGUGGAAAUGCAUUGAUGAAUAUAAAAUCAUAAAUAAAUUCUAGCAUACUCUGAUCCUAGCAUUAUUCUGCAUACUUCAAAAUAAAGUUUUUUUUUUGUAUCUCACCGUAUAAACACUGAGAGAAAAAAUCGAACAGCAACUUAAAAGAUUAUAUAUAUUAAACACGAGCAGUUAGAGUUCAAGGACUAUUCUAUGAGACGAAACAAAUUAUUUCCUCUACUGAAACAGACAUGUAUUUAGGGGACACUUUCAAAUACUGCAAGUUGCACUCACUACUUCUGAACUCACACAUCUGCUUCUAGUUAUCAAAAAGUUCUGAUGGAGAAAACACAGUUCACUUUGCAUACAUUUGAUGUUGAUGAGUGUGUGUGUGUAUAAAACACUCAUACCAGAGCACUGAGGUGCUUACAUAUGUAAGUCCUUGC
rnacentral:lncRNA from 1 species